rnacentral:rRNA from 1 species
GUGAACGCUGGCGGUAGGCCUAACACAUGCAAGUCGAACGGCAGCACAGUAAGAGCUUGCUCUUACGGGUGGCGAGUGGCGGACGGGUGAGGAAUACAUCGGAAUCUACUUUUUCGUGGGGGAUAACGUAGGGAAACUUACGCUAAUACCGCAUACGACCUACGGGUGAAAGCAGGGGAUCUUCGGACCUUGCGCGAUUGAAUGAGCCGAUGUCGGAUUAGCUAGUUGGCGGGGUAAAGGCCCACCAAGGCGACGAUCCGUAGCUGGUCUGAGAGGAUGAUCAGCCACACUGGAACUGAGACACGGUCCAGACUCCUACGGGAGGCAGCAGUGGGGAAUAUUGGACAAUGGGCGCAAGCCUGAUCCAGACAUACCGCGUGGGUGAAGAAGGCCUUCGGGUUGUAAAGCCCUUUUGUUGGGAAAGAAAAGCAGCAGGUUAAUACCCCGCUGUUCUGACGGUACCCAAAGAAUAAGCACCGGCUAACUUCGUG